rnacentral:lncRNA from 1 species
AGUCAUCUUCAGAAUUGUGUGGAAAAAUUGAGUUGGCUAGGUGCCAUCUCCAGCCUAACAGGAGUCAUCUCCUCUAUAUUGAUACAGAGUUAAGUGAAAAUGAGUCAACCCUAUUUAUCCAGGAGUCAUCUCCAAUCAGAGGAGUUGACUACAAAGUCUUAAGAGCCACCUCCUGAACUCUAGAACCGACAUGCACAAAAGGAGGAGUCACCUUUAAGUCUAGGAGCCGACCAGU